AACCCUAGUCAAUAGAUUCACGGCGUAAAACGUGUUUAAGGAAUAUUUUUAUAAAGUCAAACUUUAGCUACGCUGUAAAAAGCCACAGCUACUGUAAGCCCUAACGCGAAAGUAACUUUAAGACACCUGAAUACACGACAGCUAAGACCCAAACUGGGAUUAGAUACCCCACUAUGCUUAGCCCUAAACUUAAAGAGUCCUCCCAACAAGACUCUUCGCCAGAGUACUACUAGCCAAAGCUUAAAACUCAAGGGACUUGGCGGUGCUUCAUAUCCCUCUAGAGGAGCCUGUUCUAUAAUCGAUAAACCCCGAUCAACCUCACCAACCCUUGCCAACU
rnacentral:rRNA from 1 species